rnacentral:misc_RNA from 1 species
GUGAAUCAUCAAAUUUUUGAACGCAAAUUGCACUCUCCGGUUUUCCGGGAGAGUAUGCUUGUUUGGGGGCCAGCCUAUAAAAAAUCGACAUUGUUGCUGUUUCGCGGUGGCGUUCGUCGGGAAUUGGGUCAUCUUAAAUCCUUUUGAUUUAAGCGACUUAAAUUUUUCUUUUGGUUCCAUGAACGUUUCUAAGAUCUAUUUCUUUACACGUUCAAGGAAUCGUUUUUUAUUAGACGUGACCAUCAUAUCGGAUCGCGUCCAUAAU